ACCGGGAGUGACGGUGUACUCCUGUAAUCCAAUUACUCGGAGGCUAGGUAAGAGGAUGUUUUAAGGGCGGGGAUUUCGGGAUUGAAUUUUCCACGUCGACUAAGCGUUCGCUAGGGGUAAAUCAUCAACUUGGAUACCUUGGUGGGCCCAAAGUAGCCAGGUUUAGUCCCGAAAAAGGGGAAAAAUCGGCCCAAAAAUCACCGAGUUAAGAGUUGUGGGUUUAAAUCUUAGGAGUGGGAGUUCAAUUUUAGCUAGUCUUAACAGGAAGAGUCUUGUACCUAA
rnacentral:SRP_RNA from 1 species